AGUUUCCAGAAACUCUGCCAUAUCAUGCAACGAGAACCCCCAGCUCCUAAUUCAAAGGAAAGUCUCAGAGGUCUUGGGUAAAGACGAUAACACCUCUCCUUUGGUGGCUUUCAGUGAUAAACAGCUUCCUGCCUGAGCACUCAUAAACCUGAACUCGUGGAAAAGAAUUACUACACGGAAAACAGAACCCAGGCAGGGUUCGUAAACGGUACCCGGCAUGGGUUUCUCACAUCUUCGUUGAUAAACGUCCUGUUGCCUCCUGAGGAAUCUGUGAGACUCCUUGGGUACAGCUGUGGUCAGGAACACACCAUGCAACAACUAGACCUGAGAAGUGUCCAUCUUUCUGCCAUCGAGACCUGCCCUAGAAGAAAAACAGAAACAACACAGAUGGAGCUGCCUGUUCAAAUCCUUGUGGAUGUCAUAAGAUUAGCAGCUUUCCUCUGAGUCGGCCUCAAAGACUUCCUUUGCAAUUGUUCCUAAGCUAGCUCAAGGGAUAGGCAGUGAAGUUCACUAAAACAAAAACAUAACCUCAAACAUCCAAAACAGCUGGUGGAAAUUGUGACUGUUUUAGAGGAGCUGACUUAUCUAGCUGAGUCAAAACAAGUGUGAGCGCUUCAAACAGGCACAAGAUC
rnacentral:lncRNA from 1 species